GAACGGUUAUUGAGUGGGAUUUU
rnacentral:snRNA from 1 species